GACGAACGCUGGCGGCGUGCCUAAUACAUGCAAGUAGGACGCAGUUGCGAACGGGUGAGUAACGCGUAGGUAACUACCUAUUAGAGGGGGAUAACUAUUGGAAACGAUAGCUAAUACCACAUACUAGUAGAUGGACCUGCGUUGUAUUAGCUAGUAGGUAGGGUAAUGGCCUACCUAGGCAACGAUACAUAGCCGGCCUGAGAGGGUGAUCGGCCAAACUGGGAAUGAGACACGGCCCAGACGCCCACGGGAGGCAGGAGUAGGGAAUCUGGGGCAAUGGGGGGAACGCUGAACGGGCAACUCCGCGGGAGUGAAGUAGGUUUUGGGAGCGUAAAGCUUUGUUGUUAAGGAAGCGGUACUUAACCAGAAAGGGACGGCUAACUACGUGCCAGCAGCCGCGGUAAUAC
rnacentral:rRNA from 1 species